AAAGACAAGGACUCAUACGGACUUCGGCUACACCAUCAAAGCUUUGAGAAGAAAGAAGAAGCUUGGUUAAUGUUUUGGAGUCGAAUAUGACUUGAUGUGAUGUAU
rnacentral:sRNA from 1 species